rnacentral:lncRNA from 1 species
GCCGGGCGGCCUCAAAGUUCUGACAUCACAGGGCGGUUCCUGAAGUGGACAUAGUUAUUAAAUGCUGUUUUCCAUGACCGUCUCUGUUCUUCCCAUACGCGAAUGGCAGGCAUUCAGAUCUCCAAGAAUAGAGGAUUAGGAGAGACUCCACCACCUAUGUCCUCACAGUUAAUUAUCGAUUUGUGUCAGUUGCCCAUUUUCUCACUUCCUGUUUGUGUGUCAAGGGGUAUUAAUAAAUCUUUGCCUAUUUAAAGAUA